rnacentral:lncRNA from 1 species
AUGGGAAAUUCGGGAAUGCAGAUCGGCCACAGAGAAAGGAACGGGAAAUUUGGGAAUGCGGGAUCGGCCCCGGGAUGGGAAAUUCGGGGAUGUGGGAUCAGCCCCAGAGAGAGGAACGGGAAAUUUGGGAGAGAGGAGUGGGAAAUGUGGGAAAUGUGGAAAUUCCGGAGCUUUCCUGGGAUCAGGGAGAGCCCCGGACCCAGCGGGAUCAGGAGGGGAAUGGGGGUGGGAAACCCCAAAUCCAUCGGGAUGGGAAUGAGGAAAAACCCCAAAUCCAUCAGGAUGGGAACAGGAGAGAGGGAAAAUCCCAAAUCCAUCGGGAUGGGAAUGAGAAAACCCCAAAUUCAUCGGGAUCAGGUUGGGAAUGAGAAAUCCCAAAUCUAUCAGGAUGGGAAUGAGGAAAAACCCCAAAUCCAUCGGGAUGGGAAUGAGGAGACCCCAAAUCCAUCGGGAUCAGGAGAGAGGGAAAACCCCAAAUCCAUCGGGAUGGGAAUGAGAAACCCCAAAUCCAUCGGGAUCAGGUUGGGAAUGAGGAAACCCCAAAUCCAUCGGGAUGGGAAUGAGAAACCCCAAAUCCAUCGGGAUCAUGUUGGGAAUGAGAAAUCCCAAAUCCAUCGGGAUGGGAAUGAGGAAAAACCCCAAAUCAAUCGGGAUGGGAAUGAGAAAACCCCAAAUUCGUUGGGAUUGGGAUUGAGGCAGGACAGAGGGAAAAUCCCAAAUCCAGUGGGAUGGGAAUGGGGAUGGGAAACUCCAAAUCCAUCGGGAUCAGGAGAGAGGGAAAAUCCUAAAUCCAUCAGGAUCAGGUUGGGAAAUCCCAAAUCCAUCGGGAUGGGAGAGAGGGAAAUCCCAAAUCCAUCGGGAUGGGAGAGAGGGAAAUCCCAAAUCCAUCAGGAUGGGAAUGAGGAAACCCCAAAUCCAUCGGGAUCAGGUUGGGAAUGGGGAAACCCCAAAUCCAUCGGGAUGAGAAUGGGGAAACCCCAAAUCCAUCGGGAUGGGAAUGAGGAAACCCCAAAUCCAUCGGGACUGGGACGGGAACAGAGGGAAAAUCCCGGGAUCGGGGUCGGGAUCGGGGUCAGGGUCGGGAUCCGGAGCAGCUUGGGAAGAUCUCAAAUCCCUCGGAGCGCCGGGGCCGGGAGCCGCAGCCGCCUCCUUCCCCCCUUUUCCCCCAAAUCCCCCCGGAGCGAAAUUCCCGGGAUCGUUCCCGGGGUUGUUCCCAAAAUUCCGCCCCAAAAAUUCCCCCAGAAAGGGCAAAAACCCCAAAAUUCCCCCUCACCCCUUUAUUAUUUUUUUUUUUACAAAUUUUGGAGGUUUUGGAGCCACCCCAAAUUCUCUCUCCAAGAGCAGAAUUCCCAAAAUCCCAAAUUUCUGAGAGGAGAAAUCCCAGAAUUCCCAAAAUCCCCAAAUUUCUGA